GACGAACGCUGGCGGCGUGCUUAACACAUGCAAGUCGAGCGGUAAGGCCCUUUCGGGGGUACACGAGCGGCGAACGGGUGAGUAACACGUGGGUGACCUGCCCUCAGCUCUGGGAUAAGCCUGGGAAACCGGGUCUAAUACCGGAUAUGACUCCAUGACGCAUGUUGUGGGGUGGAAAGCCUUGUGCGGCUGAGGAUGGGCCCGCGGCCUAUCAGCUUGUUGGUGGGGUGAUGGCCUACCAAGGCGACGGCGGGUAGCCGGCCUGAGAGGGCGACCGGCCACACUGGGACUGAGACACGGCCCAGACUCCUACGGGAGGCAGCAGUGGGGAAUCUUGCGCAAUGGGCGAAAGCCUGACGCAGCGACGCCGCGUGAGGGAUGACGGCCUGGUGUAAC
rnacentral:rRNA from 1 species